UUAUGAUUUACAAAACAGAUUUAAUUCCUAAUGCUGGGCCCAGGAGCAUCAUUUCCAGGAGGACUGGAGCUAGUUCCAGCAUCAGUGUUCCCGGGUAGUGGGAUGCUGGGGCUUGGUCCUACAGUGGGUGUGUAGUUGAGCCCAAAGGACACUCAAGGUUGGAUUGAAACUUGUUUCAGCAUCAGCGGCGGGCUAAAACAUGGUCCUGCAACUCCUGUGUUGUAGAAAUUAGGGUUCACCAGUGGAAAACUCAGCAUCCCACCCAUCCGUAAAUUCGUAGCCCUGUUCUUUUCCAGUUCAUCCAUUCAGGCUAUGAUGUCCUGCAUCGUUUUCUCCGCCAAACGUCAUAUUUCGGUCAUAUUAUUUAGAGGGAAAUAUUUAUCAAGCAACAAUCUUAC
rnacentral:lncRNA from 1 species